CUGGGGGGAGGGAAGCAUCGCAAAAGAGUGGGAGAGGAAGCAAAAAGCAAGCGUCCGGGAACCGGAGGCCUGCUGGAUGCCGGGUCCGCCUGUCCAGCCGCCCUCGGACACUGGACUGUACACGGUGGGUACCAGAAGCGAGACUCGGCCAAACACUGACCUAUCAGAGAAACCACAAGACAGAAGUAACCCUGUUACCAAGCUUAUGUGGAGUGAUGAACAUGCUUGCAAACCCUUCGGAGAAAGAUCAACUAAUCACAAAUGGAAUUUCAAGGAAAAUUCAAAGUACUCACCUUGAAAGGCUUUAUCAUCCUAAGAAGUUUGUACUUCAUCCUGACAGCAAAUAAAUGAUGAAUGAGACAUUUCUAGUUGCAAUAUGAAGAAUGGAGUGAACAGAGUAAUUCUGGAGAUGUACUGCCUCCUGGACUGGGUCAGACAGUCACAGAAUACAGGCUUCAAACUGCUUUUCACACCAUUCUGGUUGGAAAUGGAACCUUUGGAGGCUCAUCAUGUUACCUUUAGCAAAACUGGAAACCAGACGUUGAGAAUGCCAGUGGCCAGCCUUUCAUUAAAAAGCUUUGCAAAGGAAGUCUCUCGGUCAGUGUGACUCACUUGCCUGAAAUUAACUGCUGUUGAUUUCAGCUGCUCCUUAAUCAACGAAACCCAGCCAAUUCAUGUGGACUGAGACACACAUGGCCUUUCAAGUUAAUUGAGUGCUUACUAUGUGUGACUCACUGUAAAAAGGAUGGGAGAGAAAAUGAGGAGACAAAUAAGGUACAG
rnacentral:lncRNA from 1 species